GGCGGAUGUAGCCAAGUGGACAAGGCAGUG
rnacentral:tRNA from 2 species